CCUACGGGAGGCAGCAGUGAGGAAUAUUGGUCAAUGGACGAGAGUCUGAACCAGCCAAGUAGCGUGAAGGAUGACUGCCCUAUGGGUUGUAAACUUCUUUUAUAAAGGAAUAAAACGAGGCACGUGUGCCUUUUUGCAUGUACUUUAUGAUUAAGGAUCGGCUAACUCCGUGCCAGCAGCAGCGGUAAUACGGAGGAUCCGAGCGUUAUCCGGAUUUAUUGGGUUUAAAGGGAGCGUAGAUGGGUUGUUAAGUCAGUUGUGAAAGUUUGCGGCUCAAACGUAAGAUUGCAAUUGAUACUGGCAGUCUAGAGUACAGUUGAGGUAGGCGGAAUUCGUGGUGUAGCGGUGAAAUGCGUAGAUAUCACGAAGAACCCCGAUUGCGAAGGCAGCUUACUAAGCUGUGACUGACAUUGAUGCUCGAAAGUGUGGGUAUCAAACAGGAUUAGAUACCCGUGUAGUC
rnacentral:rRNA from 1 species